GACGAACGCUGGCGGCGUGCUUAACACAUGCAAGUCGAACGGACAGACAGAGAGCUUGCUCUCUUGAAGUUAGUGGCGAACGGGUGAGUAACGCGUAAUCAACCUGCCCUUCAGAGGGGGAUAACAACGGGAAACCGUUGCUAAUACCGCGUACGAUUCAUGAACGGCAUCGUUUAUGAAUGAAAGGUGGCCUCUAUGUAUAAGCUAUCGCUGAAGGAGGGGAUUGCGUCUGAUUAGCUAGUUGGAGGGGUAACGGCCCACCAAGGCAAUGAUCAGUAGCCGGUCUGAGAGGAUGAACGGCCACAUUGGGACUGAGACACGGCCCAAACUCCUACGGGAGGCAGCAGUGGGGAAUCUUCCACAAUGGACGAAAGUCUGACGGAGCAACGCCGCGUGAGUGAUGAAGGUCUUCGGAUUGUAAAGCUCUGUUAAUCGGGACGAAAGAGUUCUGCGUGAAUAAUGCAGAAAAGUGACGGUACCGGAAUAGAAAGCCACGGCUAAUUACGUGCCAGCCGCCGCAGUAA
rnacentral:rRNA from 1 species